AUGGCUAUGGUGAGAAGCACAGGGGUACGGAACUCGGCUGAUAAUGGGAGCUGAGUGUUGGUUCUUAGCUCAGUGGGCAUGUGUCUGGCUGACUGGGAGGUGCAAACACGAUACAGACGCCUGACUGAGCCUC
ensembl:snoRNA